AGCAGUAGCCGCGGGAAUACGGAGGGUGCAAGCGUUAAUCGGAAUUACUGGGCGUAAAGCGCACGCAGGCGGUCUGUCAAGUCAGAUGUGAAAUCCCCGGGCUUAACCUGGGAACUGCAUUUGAAACUGGCAGGCUAGAGUCUUGUAGAGGGGGGUAGAAUUCCAGGUGUAGCGGUGAAAUGCGUAGAGAUCUGGAGGAAUACCGGUGGCGAAGGCGGCCCCCUGGACAAAGACUGACGCUCAGGUGCGAAAGCGUGGGGAGCAAACAGGAUUAGAUACCCCGGUAGUCCCUGUCUCUUAUAC
rnacentral:rRNA from 1 species